AUCGACCCUUUCUUCUCAGUCAAGUGUUCUUUAAUUGAAACCCUAAUUUCUCAAAGCUUCUUCCUUGUUUCUUGUCUGGGGAUAAUCAGGGUCGUGUUUGCAAUGGCGAAAAGUUCCUUCAAGCUUGAGCAUCCAUUGGAAAAGAGGCAGGAUGAAGUUGCUCGCAUCAGGUCGAAGUAUCCCGAUAGAAUUCCCAUUAUUGUUUAGAAGGCUGUAAAGAGCGACGUUCCUGAUCUUGAUCAAAAGAAGUUAGUUGCAUGUGACAGGCCAUCGUGUAUAUUAUAAGUUUGCACAUGAAUGUACCGCAUAAAUAUGUUAAUGAAGAUGUAUCGUUGGGAGCUUGGUUUAUCGGUUUAGAUGUGGAGCAUGUGGAUGACAGGAGAGACUGCUGUGGUACUCACCCAGAUUGUGAAUGGAAAGCUCAAGCUGGUAAUAUCUGUGUUGCUUCAUUCGACUGGAGGUGCAGUGGUAUUUGCAGGUCCGUGGAGAGGAUUACGGAGGUUCAUGAACGUUGUGGUGAGGACAAGAAUGCUUUAUGGAGCACGAACUUCACGCAAGGAACAAAAACUUAUUCCUGAGGAAAAAUAUACAUGGGGAGAACUGGCACAGAGAUGCUUUUGUCACCCUUUCUAUAAUUUUCUCCCCUUUCCCCACAUUUAUAUUUGCAUCCAUAGGUGUAAAGAGUAUAUUAUACCAUAGAAAAACAUUAGAGAUACCCCUUGCUUUUUGCUUCUGGGGUACCCCUCUACCUCUGAGGAUACCGACCCCAAUACAGCUGCCUCAACCUCAUUCUUUGAAUGGUGGAGGGCUGGAUUAAUAAGUUUUCUACCAUGGUGAUGAGAUCUAUAUGACUAAUCUUUGUGGACAGCAUAUUGCUGCUUCCUAUUCAAUAAAAUCAAUUUAAUUACAGGUUUAUAUCA